GUACACGAGCGGUGCAAAGGGUGCACGAAACUUUAUCCUGACCUCCCCUGGCCUCUCAAGUCCUUCACUGCGUACUCCCUAAUGCAGAAGAGAAGUGAAAAGGCACAAAAUGUUCCCACAGAGCAAGCUGGAGAGUUGGUUCAUGGCCCUCUCAAACACCGUAACAAGAAAAAUGUAGGUAGGUUUUACUCUGGGAGGAAGAAGCAGUGACUAAGCAUGCAGAAAAGAGGCUUCUAUGGAAUGGGAGCCUGAGGUGCUGAUAAGAAGUGAAAGGGAGAAAGCAUUCACAUGAUCAUGGCAGAGGAAUUACAUUUUUUCUGUGUGGCUGGGAUUCCCUCCAUGGUGCGUCUAUCUGUGCUGGUAAUACUCAUCAAAUGCAGAAGUUGCCAUGAUGGGAUUUCAAGGAAAAAACUGACCUAUCCUGAAAUCAAACAACGUUAAAAGGAAAGUGAGCAGAGAGGUACAUAACACUACCUUGCGUGCUGUGAGAGAAAAGGACGGAAAGGGAGAACUUAGCACAGAGCUGCAGCCUUUCAGAAUACAAACGCUAGCUGAAAUACAUGAGCUAAGCGAGUCUGGAACCAGCCUGACUGUGAAAGCCAUCACACAUCUGAGGAAACAAACGGCAAAACACAUCUGUUUGGGUCCUGCCACCUGCAGCCAGAGUAAUGUGCAGUUUUCAUUUGACUGAAGGAGAGAAACAAGUCCGUUAUCUGCUAAAUCUGCAAACAGAGCUGCAUUAUCGAUUACAGCUUUAUUUAAAAGUAAGUACAAACUGUCCUUUAGGUCAAAGUCAAAACAAGCAGUAAGAAUUCAGUAGUGUCCCUGAUUUCCUUCUGAAAUCUUACUAUGAGAGCAUCUGGGAAACCAGCAGGCAAACCCAUCUCAUUGGCACUGAAGAUGCCAUCAUGGAGCCCUUAUGAAGGCACAGACAGAUCAUGGCAAGCAUGUACCUCCUCAAGCUGUGCCCUCCAGGAUUCUGCAAAGAUGGAUUUGAGGCAGUAAGACAGCCAGUGCUGUCUCUGACAGAGUCUGUCUCUGUGACCUUGUGUUUGUCGAUUCGACAGCAGUUCAGGACUCCCAACCCUCCAUUCAACUGCCUCAGCACAGUGGCUGGGAUUGAAGCUCAGUGCUGACAACGUGUGCAGUGACGGUGAAACCUCAGGAAGUCUGAAUUUUCUGCUGAGCAAGCAGAUGUUGUUUUCCAUCUGAGUUACAGACAACAUGUGACAAAAGUAUCACGUCUUCUAAUCAACAUUAAUUUAAAAAAUCAAAUACAGUCUCUUUGGUGUGAGUGCACAGAAGUACUGAGCAAGCUUCUAAGAGUGUGACCUCCUCUCAAAUAUAAUAGAAAACAAGAAAAUCAUGCUAGUCACCUUCCUUGCACUUGCCUGUGUCAGAGAUUAAAAAAUUAUAAGAUUUUUUUUAAAGUACCCACAUAAAUAUGCUACUUAAGUACAGGUGAACUGUUUUAGGUGGCAGCACAAUUAUCCCAACUUCACCAGAAGGUGCUUAGACAAAUGGUCAUAUCUGUCUGUAACCCUGAUAUUUGUGUUUCUGUAUCCAGCAGCAAAUGACCUAAAGUCUUGACCUGAAAAUUCCCCAGACUCAUUAAACUCUUCAUCAGCUGUGUGAGACACUACAUUCUGAGUAUGCACAUGUGGCAGAUAAAGCGGGAAACACGGGGAAGGGAGAGCAGCAACAAAGCAGAGUUGAGCAGGCACCGCACUUCAGAUGCAGUGCUUCACCUCCACUGAGAGUCUGGCUUACUGGGAAUUAAUUUUAUGCAAUUUUACUGCUAGAUAUUAGAGGAAAGUAGAUGGCAUAUAAUCAUUUGGUGAAUCAUUCAUUCAAAAAGAUCUUGUACCUAAUCAGAUUCUCCGCUCUUCAGCUCUUCAUCUGCUGACCUAAGCAGUAAAUAACAUUUAAGGAAAGAUAAGUAGGCAUGUUGGUGCUAUGAAUCAAAUGAUUUUAAGAACCUAUUCAAAAACUGUAUGCUCAGAGUAGGUGUAUUUCAAGGUAUAUUCAUGCAUGCUGUUGAAAGGUGUAAUUGGUGCUUAAGAUACCCUCACAGAAUUAAGACUCAGAAUUUGUGGAGGUCUUUGUCUAAAAUAACAGCAAAGAUAAAUAUACAGAGCCAGUAUUUGUUCUGACAAGGAGGAUGGGCAUAAAUACUUCUUCACAGAUAGUAAGGCAGGCAGUUGUAAAUCAGAUUCUUACUGCAGAGGAGAAAUACUGGCAAGAUAUUAGAAGAGUAUAUGGUGCUAGAAGUAAUAUGAACAACUUCACAAAUUUCCACUCAUUUAAAUCCCUCAUGGUACUGAGUGAAUUUUGCCAAAACCUCCUUAGCAGAGAAAAACCUAAGUUGAUAAAUAUUUUUUGAAAUCUUUGGCUUUAUUUCCUUUCUGUUUUGAAACCUAGCUUCUAUAAAUCUAAACUUUAUCAUAAAAUGCAUUUUUUUACUCAGCUCAAAGGGCUGGCAUAUAUUUUAUCCAGGACCAGUGGUGCCACACUGUUUUUUAGCAAUUUACCCACUGAAGCUUAGUAUGGGGAUCCUGACCUCGCUGUGACAUCCUAACACAACGAGCACUGUCUUGUCCUGCUACUUGAUGCUUGAUUGCUAAACAUACUUUCCUGUUUACCUGCUCUGUCACCAGCAUGCACAAUAUAGACAAACGUGCGCCACAAAUAGAGACAGCACAAUUACAAAAACGUUGUAUGGAGAGCCCAUACUCCAUCUCCAGCAGGUCAGUCUACAAUCUAAUUUUUUUUUUGCAAUUGAUUCUAAAAAAACAUCCACCUCACUCUCAUGCAUAGGUAAUUUGAGGCAAAUAGUGGACUUCUGACAUUUAAACUAGCAAUUCGUGGCUUUUCCCUGCAAUGAUGUUGUUUAUUUGCAUGACACUGGGGAUGUGCCAGAUGUUCUAAAAGGUCACAAAAAACAUCUCCCCUUCAGCUUUGUAAAUAGCAGCAAAUCCAUUUAAACUCUUUGUCAAAUCUCUUUCUCGAACCUGGUAUUGGGCUCCCAGCCCAAUCUUAUCUACGGCCUAUAGGUAUCUUGUAGUAGAGACAAUAAAUUAUACAAACUGAAGUACCUGGGAUUUCAUGGAUGCAUAACUACUAUGACACUGAGAUCUGAAAUAAGCUGCAGGCCUGCUGAGAAUUUACAGUCUCAUCAGAAAACAGAAAAAUAACAUCCAUGAGUUGGCCAAUAAACUGUACAUGACAG
ensembl:lncRNA